rnacentral:rRNA from 1 species
UACGAAGGUCCCAAGCGUUGUUCGGAUUCAUUGGGCGUAAAGGGUGCGUAGGCGGCGCGGUAAGUCGGGUGUGAAAUCUCGGAGCUUAACUCCGAAACUGCAUUCGAUACUGCCGUGCUUGAGGACUGGAGAGGAGACUGGAAUUUACGGUGUAGCGGUGAAAUGCGUAGAUAUCGUAAGGAAGACCAGUGGCGAAGGCGGGUCUCUGGACAGUUCCUGACGCUGAGGCACGAAGGCCAGGGGAGCAAACGGG